rnacentral:rRNA from 1 species
GCCUGAUGCGCCAUGCCGCGUGUGUGAAGAAGGCCUUCGGGUUGUAAAGCACUUUCAGUCGUGAGGAAGGUGGUGUAGUUAAUAGCUGCAUUAUUUGACGUUAGCGACAGAAGAAGCACCGGCUAACUCCGUGCCAGCAGCCGCGGUAAUACGGAGGGUGCGAGCGUUAAUCGGAAUUACUGGGCGUAAAGCGCAUGCAGGUGGUUUGUUAAGUCAGAUGUGAAAGCCCGGGGCUCAACCUCGGAAUAGCAUUUGAAACUGGCAGACUAGAGUACUGUAGAGGGGGGUAGAAUUUCAGGUGUAGCGGUGAAAUGCGUAGAGAUCUGAAGGAAUACCGGUGGCGAAGGCGGCCCCCUGGACAGAUACUGACACUCAGAUGCGAAAGCGUGGGGAGCAAACAGGAUUAGAUACCCUGGUAGUCCACGCCGUAAACGAUGUCUACUUGGAGGUUGUGGCCUUGAGCCGUGGCUUUCGGAGCUAACGCGUUAAGUAGACCGCCUGGGGAGUACGGUCGCAAGAUUAAAACUCAAAUGAAUUGACGGGGGCCCGCACAAGCGGUGGAGCAUGUGGUUUAAUUCGAUGCAACGCGAAGAACCUUACCUACUCUUGACAUCCAGAGAACUUACCAGAGAUGCAUUGGUGCCUUCGGGAACUCUGAGACAGGUGCUGCAUGGCUGUCGUCAGCUCGUGUUGUGAAAUGUUGGGUUAAGUCCCGCAACGAGCGCAACCCUUAUCCUUGUUUGCCAGCGAGUAAUGUCGGGAACUCCAGGGAGACUGCCGGUGAUAAACCGGAGGAAGGUGGGGACGACGUCAAGUCAUCAUGGCCCUUACGAGUAGGGCUACACACGUGCUACAAUGGCGCAUACAGAGGGCAGCCAGCUUGCGAUAGUGAGCGAAUCCCAAAAAGUGCGUCGUAGUCCGGAUUGGAGUCUGCAACUCGACUCCAUGAAGUCGGAAUCGCUAGUAAUCGUGGAUCAGAAUGCUACGGUGAAUACGUUCCCGGGCCUUGUACACACCGCCCGUCACACCAUGGGAGUGGGCUGCAAAAGAAGUAGGUAGUUUAACCUUCGGGAGGACGCUUACCACUUUGUGGUCAUGACUGGGUGAC